rnacentral:rRNA from 1 species
UGUGGUUUAAUUCGAUGCAACGCGAAGAACCUUACCUGGGCUUGACAUCCCGGGAAUCCCUGGAAACAAGGGAGUGCCCUUCGGGGAACCUGGAGACAGGGUGCUGCAUGGCUGUCGUCAGCUCGUGUCGUGAGAUGUAGGGUUAAGUCCCGCAACGAGCGCAACCCUUGUCUUUAAUUGCCAUCAUUGAGUUGGGCACUUUAAAGAGACUGCCGGUGUUAAACCGGAGGAAGGUGGGGAUGACGUCAAGUCCUCAUGGCCUUUAUGCCCAGGGCUACACACGUGCUACAAUGGGUGGUACAAAGGGUCGCCAACCCGCGAGGGGGAGCCAAUCCCAUAAAGCCAUUCGUAGUCCGGAUCGCAGUCUGCAACUCGACUGCGUGAAGUCGGAAUCGCUAGUAAUCGUGGAUCAGAAUGUCACGGUGAAUACGUUCCCGGGUCUU